UACGAAGGUGGCAAGCGUUGUUCGGAUUUACUGGGCGUAAAGGGAGCGUAGGUGGUUAGGUAAGCCCUCCGGGAAAUCUUCAGGCUUAACCUGAAAAGGUCGGGGGGGACUGCCUGGCUAGAGGACGGGAGAGGGGCGCGGAAUUCCCGGUGUAGCGGUGAAAUGCGUAGAGAUCGGGAGGAAGGCCGGUGGCGAAGGCGGCGCUCUGGAACGUUUCUGACACUGAGGCUCGAAAGCGUGGGGAGCAAACAGG
rnacentral:rRNA from 1 species